rnacentral:rRNA from 2 species
CUGGUGUCAGCCGCCGCGGUAAUACCAGCACCCCGAGUGGUCGGGACGAUUAUUGGGCCUAAAGCAUCCGUAGCCGGUACUGCAAGUCUUCCGUUAAAUCCACCUGCUUAACAGUUGGGCUGCGGGGGAUACUACAGCGCUAGGAGGCGGGAGAGGCAAGCGGUACUCAGUGGGUAGGGGUAAAAUCCGCUGAUCCAUUGAAGACCACCAGUGGCGAAGGCGGCUUGCCAGGACGCGCUCGACGGUGAGGGAUGAAAGCUGGGGGAGCAAACCGGAUUAGAUACCCGGGUAGUCCCAGCUGUAAACGAUGCAGACUCGGUGAUGGGCUGGCUUUGUGCCAGCCCAGUGCCGCAGGGAAGCCGUUAAGUCUGCCGCCUGGGGAGUACGGUCGCAAGACUGAAACUUAAAG